rnacentral:rRNA from 1 species
AUUGAACGCUGGCGGCAGGCUUAACACAUGCAAGUCGAGCGGAGAUGAGGUGCUUGCACCUUAUCUUAGCGGCGGACGGGUGAGUAAUGCUUAGGAAUCUGCCUAUUAGUGGGGGACAACAUUCCGAAAGGAAUGCUAAUACCGCAUACGUCCUACGGGAGAAAGCAGGGGAUCUUCGGACCUUGCGCUAAUAGAUGAGCCUAAGUCGGAUUAGCUAGUUGGUGGGGUAAAGGCCUACCAAGGCGACGAUCUGUAGCGGGUCUGAGAGGAUGAUCCGCCUCACUGGGACCGAGACACGGCCCAGACUCCUACGGGAGGCAGCAGUGGGGAAUAUUGGACAAUGGGGGGAACCCUGAUCCAGCCAUGCCGCGUGUGUGAAGAAGGCCUUAUGGUUGUAAAGCACUUUAAGCGAGGAGGAGGCUACUGAGACUAAUACUCUUGGAUAGUGGACGUUACUCGCAGAAUAAGCACCGGCUAACUCUGUGCCAGCCGCCGCGGUAA